rnacentral:tmRNA from 1 species
GGGGCCGUAAAGGUUUCGACAGGUUAGUAAAAACUAAUCCGUGAUUCAGGUCGAGAGUGAGUACCAUCUCGUAAAUCAGACUCAAACUAAAUAUAGAUGCAAACAACAUCGUAAAAUUUGAGCGUCAGGCAGUAGCUGCCUAAUCUAAAAACACUUUUUUAGAUUGCUCGUCUCUAGUUUGACUCCGUUAAGGACUAAAGACAAAACCCCAACGGAUGCGCUGAAUAAUUUUCUUUGGUAGGUUAUUUAAGCAAAGAUUUUAUCAAAGAAUCCUGCCAUCAGGGAUAAUUGAUGACCCCCGCUCUAAGGGUAAAAAGAGCUAAACCUGUGAACGAAUGGGCAAGUGAAUAGCUGGCUUGGACAGCAGUUCGACUCUGCUCGGCUCCACUC